CCUACGGGGGGCAGCAGUGGGGAAUAUUGCACAAUGGGGGAAACCCUGAUGCAGCGACGCCGCGUGAGGGAGGAAGUAUUUCGGUAUGUAAAGCUCUAUCAGCAGGGAAGAAAAUGACGGUACCUUACUAAGAAGCCCCGUCUAACUACGUGCCAGCAGCCGCGGUAAUACGUAGGUGGCAAGCGUUAUCCGGAUUUACUGGGUGUAAAGGGAGCGUAGACGGUUAAUCAAGUCAGAAGUGAAAACCCAGGGCAAAACCGUGGGAGUGCUUUUGAAACUGGGUAGCUAGAGUGCAGGAGAGGUAAGCGGAAUUCGUGGUGUAGCGGUGAAAUGCGUAGAUAUUAGGAGGAACACCAGUUGCGAAGGCGGCUUACUGGACUGUAACUGACGUUGAGGCUCGAAAGCGUGGGGAGCAAACAGGAUUAGAUACCCCUGUAGUC
rnacentral:rRNA from 1 species